UUGUUGUGACCUUGGUCUUGGGCUGGGUUGGUGGUAAUCCAGGAUUUGUUUUGCUCCAUGUUUUUAGCUGGGCCUAUAAUCUGCUUGUACUUAUUAUUUUAUGCAGUAAAUUUACUCUAUUAAAGAAAAAUUGAAUGAAAAAUUAUGUUAGAGAUAAUUUUUGUAUGAAUUGAAAGGUAACUAUGUUGUAUCUCUCUCUAUGGAA
rnacentral:misc_RNA from 1 species